AGUAUACUAUUAUGAGUAUUGGAGCUCUCGUACUCAUAAGUUGUUUUCGAUAAUGAAGCUUCCGAAUCGACGAUCCACUCCAUUAAAUAUGAUCUAGAGUAUUUGAAACUUCUAGAAAAUAAAUUUCGUAAAUUUUUAAAAUAAUAAUAAAGUCCAUCAAGUGGGCAUAAAAUGAAUGGUCAAAAUCGAACGACGUCCUAAAAAAGGAUGAUCGGAUCCUUCAAUUUAAGAUCGGAGUUAUUGAUCUUUAUCUAUGUAGUGAAUAGAAUUUUCUAUCAAAAAUUCAACAAAUUCUGAUUCUUUUACAUCGUUAAAUUAGCAAGUAUCCCAUACCGGCCGUUAAAAAUUGUUAAAUUUUUGACCUCUUGAUCAUAAGGUAAAUGAUGUCGAAAAAUUAUAAAAUUUGAUUUCUAGAAGUUUUAAAUGCUGUAAAUAACAUUUAACGGUGUAGAUCGUCGAUUCGGAAGUUCUAUCAUCGAAAAUAACUUAUGAGUACGAGGGCGAUCGUACUCAUAAUAGUAUAGUAGCCGGACCGUAUAUAUAUAUAUAUAUAUAAAAUGUUUUAAAAAACUAUAUAUUCUGUUUUAUUU
rnacentral:lncRNA from 1 species